rnacentral:lncRNA from 1 species
CAGAUUGGGAAAGGAUCUUCCCUCAAAUACGGACACUGGGCUCCUAAAGUGUGCUGUAUGCCAAAUAGAUCAAUCUCCAGCUGAAGAUCUAUUAAGUGACGAGGGUCCUAUCAUCUCCUCAGCAUCUAAGCGAUGGGAAGGCCCCUUCCUAUGCACAAUAUGCAAGAAAAAGAAAGACGCCAUGGAAGGAAAAAGACCAAGCAAAGGAUCAGUGACCACUUAAAGCCUCACUAUUGUCUUGAAAUAAACCAUAAUUUUCUUAUCUUACCUUCUUCGGGUGUGCUGUGAGACGGCCUGGUUUUGUGUUAUUCCCCCAGGCAUUGAUUGGAGAAGUAGCAUUAAUAGUAAAAAUGUUUGCAAAUGUUUGUAGAGAGAGAGAGAGGGAGAGAGAGAAUAGAUCCAAUUCUUA